CGAGCGGGCAGUGAGCUGGAGGGGCCGCGGCGGCGCCGGGGGUGCCAGCCGCCUCCUCUGGCCGCCGGCCCGUCGGCCCUGCAAAGUUUAACGCCAAUUCCCCUUGCGUCCUGGGAGCCGAGCGUUUUCUCUCCCUGCUGACGCUCCCAGCAGCUCUGCCUGGCCAGGCCAGGCUGGAGAGCACCCGGACCAUUUUCCAGACGGUGAGAUGGAGCCCUGGAAACCGAGCUUAUGAGCAGCCCGGAGCUUUCCAUUGCCUGCCCAGCCUUCCAGAUACAUCCCAGUUCCAGUUCUUUCCAGAGCCCUCUGGGAUCCAGCCAGCCUGCUUCCCCGCCAGGGCCUCACUGCUUCCAAACCUACUUCCCAGAAAUUUGGUGGCUGCCUCUGUGCUAUGAUUUGGUUGCUACCUGCUGAAGCUUCAACCUCUCAUCACUACCAGAAGGACCACAUCACUAAAAGUCCAUCAAUGGGGUUACUCACUUUGAUGGGCCUGUGCAGCGUCAUUCAGGAAGCCCGUGGUACUCACAUCACUCUGGCCAGACGCUAACAAGAAAAUGAUCCACUGUGACGCAGCCGACCCCAUCCAGUGCAUCCACAUUACCUGGAAAGAAGCAAUUAUGCCCCUUUGGUUUCCUUGGAAAUGCUUGGUCUGUCUCUACCAUCCGCCCUGGCUCUUGAGAAAUACUCAUGCACGGUAGAGCUUUGACAGGGAGACAGUGUGUUUAUUUUCCAACUGAAAGUUUACAGAAUACAAAGUGAGCCUGUAAGAUGGUGGCCACUCUCCAGAGGCUUGUUGGUCAGACAGGAAAGAAAACCAGUGCACCAUCGGGAACGUGGAGGAGGCUGAAAGAGAGGGACAAACAUAUUGGAUUGGAUUGGGCCCCCACAGUCAAGUUCCUGCAAACCAAGCUGGGAGAUUUUCCUGACUAAGGGUUAUGUUCUUGGGCCUCAAAGCUCCCCAGCCAACGCCCAGCUUCUGUGCCGAGGAGGAUACAGGAGGACAGACACAGCCUCUGUGUCAGGAGGAGGGAAGAAGGACUAAUGUCUGUGGACACUCUGAGGCUCACAGGGAGAAGCCACACACUCGCAGCACCAGAUGAGUAAACAGAGGCUUGGAGGGGUGAUGAAAUUUGCCAACAGUCAUCAAUCGUUCCAGGAACAGGUGAUGCUUCCCGGCAGUGAGACUCGAAACCAGCGGGAGUUCCCAGCCAGAGACAUGAUCUAAGUGCCAAUGGCUGAAUGUCUGUGAGCAUUUCAAGUCAUUUUAAGAAUAGGCAACAUUAGCGGCACCAUUAAAGCCUGCUGUUCCUCCAGCCCAUCACUGCCAUCCCCACCUAUUAAAAUAAUGGCAUGAAAAAUAAACAGCCUUUAUGUACA
rnacentral:lncRNA from 10 species